rnacentral:rRNA from 1 species
AUUGAACGCUGGCGGCAUGCCUUACACAUGCAAGUCGAACGGCAGCACGGGAGCAAUCCUGGUGGCGAGUGGCGAACGGGUGAGUAAAGUAUCGGAACGUGCCCAGUCGUGGGGGAUAACGUAGCGAAAGUUACGCUAAUACCGCAUACGAUCUAUGGAUGAAAGCGGGGGAUCGCAAGACCUCGCGCGAUUGGAGCGGCCGAUAUCAGAUUAGGUAGUUGGUGGGGUAAAGGCUCACCAAGCCGACGAUCGGUAGCUGGUCUGAGAGGACGACCAGGCACGCGGGGACUGAGACACGGCCCAGACUCCUACGGGAGGCAGCAGUGGGGAAUUUUGGACAAUGGGCGAAAGCCUGAUCCAGCCAUGCCGCGUGCAGGAUGAAGGCCUUCGGGUUGUAAACUGCUUUUGUACGGAACGAAAAGGUUUGGCCUAAUAAGCUGAGCUCAUGACGGUACCGUAAGAAUAAGCACCGGCUAACUACGUGCCAGCCGCCGCCGUAA